AACCUCCGCAAUGUGAGAAAUCGCGACGGGGGGAUCCCAAGUGCCAUUCUUAACGGGAUGGCUUUUCAUUAGUGUAAAGAGCUUUUGGAAUAAGAGCUGGGCAAGACCGGUGCCAGCCGCCGCGGUAACACCGGCAGCUCUAGUGGUAACAAUUUUUAUUGGGCCUAAAGCGUCCGUAGCCGGUUUAAUAAGUCUCUGGUGAAAUCCUGUAGCUUAACUGUGGGAAUUGCUGGAGAUACUAUUAGACUUGAGACCGGGAGAGGUUAGAGGUACUCCCGGGGUAGAGGUGAAAUUCUGUAAUCCUGGGAGGACCGCCUGUUGCGAAGGCGUCUAACUGGAACGGUUCUGACGGUGAGGGACGAAAGUUAGGGGCGCGAACCGGAUUAGAUACCCGGGUAGUCCUAACUGUAAACGAUGCGGACUUGGUGUUGGGGUGGCUUUGAGCUGCUCCAGUGCCGAAGGGAAGCUGUUAAGUCCGCCGCCUGGGAAGUACGGUCGCAAGACUGAAACUUAAAGGAAGU
rnacentral:rRNA from 1 species